rnacentral:rRNA from 1 species
AUUGAACGCUGGCGGCAUGCCUUACACAUGCAAGUCGAACGGAUCAGAGGAGCUUGCUCUUCUGGUUAGUGGCGAACGGGUGAGUAAUGCAUCGGAACGUACCCAGUAGUGGGGGAUAACGUAGCGAAAGUUACGCUAAUACCGCAUACGACCUGAGGGUGAAAGCAGGGGAUCGCAAGACCUUGCGCUAUUGGAGCGGCCGAUGUCGGAUUAGCUAGUUGGUAGGGUAAAAGCCUACCAAGGCGACGAUCCGUAGCUGGUCUGAGAGGACGACCAGCCACACUGGGACUGAGACACGGCCCAGACUCCUACGGGAGGCAGCAGUGGGGAAUUUUGGACAAUGGGGAGACCCUGAUCCAGCCAUGCCGCGUGAGUGAAGAAGGCCUUCGGGUUGUAAAGCUCUUUCAGACGGAAAGAAAUCUUCCGGGCUAAUACCUCGGGAGGAUGACGGUACCGUAAGAAGAAGCACCGGCUAACUACGUGCCAGCCGCCGCCGUAA